rnacentral:rRNA from 1 species
UACGUAGGGUGCGAGCGUUGCCCGGAUUUAUUGGGCGUAAAGGGCGCGUAGGCGGUCACGCACGUCCGUUGUGAAAUCGCUCGGCUCAACUGGGCGGGGUCAGCGGAUACGGCGUGGCUGGAGCAAGCUAGGGGGCAAUGGAAUUCCCGGUGUAGUGGUGGAAUGCGCAGAUAUCAGGAGGAACACCGGUGGCGAAGGCGGCACUCUGGGCCGAUACUGACACUGAGGAGCGAAAGCGUGGGGAGCGAACAGG